rnacentral:tRNA from 1 species
AGGAAGAAGUUGUAAACAUAAUCUUGAAGAGAUUAAAAGGUAUCCUCAUAUCGCUCCUA